UACGUAGGUGGCAAGCGUUGUCCGGAUUUAUUGGGUUUAAAGGGUGCGUAGGCGGUUUGGUAAGUCGGGUGUGAAAUCUCCACGCUCAACGUGGAGGGGCCACUCGAUACUGCCAUGACUCGAGUCCGGUAGAGGAGUGUGGAAUUCCCGGUGUAGCGGUGAAAUGCGCAGAUAUCAGGAGGAACACCAGUGGCGAAGGCGGCGCUCUGGGCUGGCACUGACGCUGAGGAGCGAAAGCGUGGGGAGCGAACAGG
rnacentral:rRNA from 1 species